GAUGAACGCUGGCGGCGUGCUUAACACAUGCAAGUCGAACGUGAUCCAUUAGCAAUAGUGGUGAAAGUGGCGAACGGGUGAGUAACACGUAGGUAACCUGCCCUGAAGUGGGGGAUAACGACUGGAAACGGUCGCUAAUACCGCAUGAGUCCAUCGAAGCGGGAGUGAGAUGGAGAAAACUGAGGUGCUUCAGGAGGGGUCUGCGUCCGAUUAGCUAGUUGGUGGGGUAAAGGCUCACCAAGGCGACGAUCGGUAGCUGGUCUGAGAGGACGAUCAGCCACACGGGAACUGAGACACGGUCCCGACUCCUACGGGGGGCAGCAGUGAGGAAUAUUGGGCAAUGGGCGGAAGCCUGACCCAGCAACGCCGCGUGAAGGAUGAAGGCCUUCGGGUUGUAAACUUCUUUUAUGGGGGAAGAGAGAGGACGGUACCCCAGGAAUAAGUCACGGCUAACUACGUG
rnacentral:rRNA from 1 species